CCUACGGGUGGCAGCAGUGGGGAAUAUUGGACAAUGGGCGGAACCCUGAUCCAGCGACGCCGCGUGAGUGAAGACGUAUUUCGGGAUUUAAAACUCUAUCAGUAGGGAAGAAAAGGGCGGUACGUGACUGAGAAGCCCUGGAUAACUACGUGCCAGCAGCCGCGGUAAUACGUAGGGGGCACGGGUUAUCCGGAAUUACUGGGUGUAAAGGGAGCGUAGGCGGUGCAGCAAGUCUGAUGUGAAAGGUCGGGGCCCAACCCCGGGAGUGCAGUGGAAACUGUUGAACUGGAGUACAGGAGAGGUAAGCGGAAUUCCUAGUGUAGCGGUGAAAUGCGUAGAUAUUAGGAGGAACACCAGUGGCGAAGGCGGCUUACUGGACUGUAACUGACGUUGAGGCUCGAAAGCGUGGGGAGCAAACAGGAUUAGAUACCCGUGUAGUC
rnacentral:rRNA from 1 species